GCCUCAGUGGCCUAAUGGAUAAGGCAUCGGUUGCCUAAACCGGGGAUUGUGGGUUCGAGUCCCACCGGAGGUG
rnacentral:tRNA from 1 species